CGGGGCAGGGGGGUGUCGGGCCCAGUUCCCCCUGUGGUUCCCCAGUAAGUGGGACUGGGAGGGAACAGGGGCUGUGACAGGCCAAGGCAAUGCACAGGGCUCCACAGGGCUGCUUUAGGGUUUAAUUCCGAAAAUGUGAUCCUGGGAUACACAGAGCAGCUGAGCCUGGGAUGGGGCAGAAACGCAGCUGCCCUGAGGAAUGAACGUCCCUGGGUGUGAGCACCGGGGCUGUGCCAACCCUGGGAGAGCUGUGGAUCCAUGGAGGGCUGGAUUCCUGGACUCCUCUGUGUGCCCCUUGCCUGCAGCAUCGUGCCAUGGCCCGUUUCCUGGUCCCAGAGCAGAGCUGGGGCUGCAGCCCCGUGUCACUCCAGCCCCUUGUUCUGGAACAGCUUCAGGAUGUGGUUCUCGAUGACCUGUUGGACUAAGGGAGGGAGAGAGGUGGCACCUGGGGAAGCCAAGCCUGUGAGGAGCCACUGCUGCUGUGGGAAGGAGCUGGUCACCCUUGUGCUCCUGUUUCCUGAUGGAAAACCCCCUUCUCCAGGGGCCUGUCCCCCCCUCCCCAUCCCAGCCCUAUCCCCAGGGUUGGGAAGCGGAGCCCGAGGAGGAUCCGAUUUCCCUGGAUUGAUGUCUCUGCGUGGCAGGGCUGUGGGGGGAGGUCAAAGCAAGCCCCAGGCAGUGCUGGAAGCUGGGAAUCACCUGGAGGUUUUCCAGGGAGGGAAGGGGAGGGGACACCUGCCUUUCUUGUGGCCCAGGGCCACGGCCAGAUCCAUGGGGGUGUAGCCGGAAUCCGCCUCCUCCGUCAGGUCAGCGCCGUGAGCUGCGGGCAGAGAGCAGGGCAGGGGGGGUGAGGGGACCCCCAAAAGCUGCCCCUGCACCCCCCCAGGGGCGUGUCCCUCUCUUCCCGAGGCGGGGGAGCAGCAGUUCCAGGCUCAGGGGUUCCCCUUACCCAGCAGGGCCUCCACACACUUGACGUGGUUCCCGCGCACGGCGUAGAGCAGGGGGGUGCCGCCGUUCUGGGGACAGGGGGACAGGGACGGUCACUGCAGGGCUCCCACAGCUCCUGCUCCUCCCUGACAGGGAGGCCCCAACCUGCUGGGAUCCCCCUUCCACCCCCUACCAACCUCCAGGCUGGGAUCCCCCUCCUGCCCUUCUUCCCAGCUUCCCAGGCUGGGACUCGCUGGGAUCCCUCUUACACCUUCCCCCAGUUCUGGGUUGGGAACCACUGGGAUCCCCCUCUCACCCUCUCCCACCUCCUGCUGGGACCCACUGGGAUUGCCCUUCUGCCCUCUUCCAGCUCCAGGUUGGGAUCCUCCUUCCACCCUCUCCCAGCUCUGGGUGGGAUCCCCCUUCCACCCUCUCCCACUGCAAUCUCCAUCCUCUCCCAGCUCCAGGCUGGGAUUCACAGGGAUCCCCCUUCCACCCUCUCCCAGCUCCAGGCUGGGAUCCCCCUUCCACCCUCUCCCAGCUCCCUGCUGCUGUUCCCUCCCAGAGCAGCUCCCUGCAGGUUUUAUUCUUCCCUCUGCGACACAAUAACUUUUAAUCUGUGUCACUGCUAAAAACCACCCCAAUCUCUGCUCGUGGGGAGUUUCCUCAUGGAAAAAAACCAUUUAAAAUUAUUAUCCCAGUUAAUUUAUGGGAACAACCACAGGAGCAAGGCUGGGAGCCUGGGAAGCACCAGCCUGGAAGGAUGGGAAACAAGCUUUGUGGAGGCCUGUCCUGGUGGCCCUGGUGGCCCUGGUGGCCCUGGUGGCACUCACCCAGUCGUAGAUGUUGAUGUCCACGUUCCUCUCCAGCAGCAGGGUGACAAUGUCCGUGUAUCCCCCCAUGCUGGCCAGGGACAGGGCACUCUCCCUCUCCUUGGCCAGGGCGUGGGGAUCAGCCCCCUGGGAACGACACCGGGGUUGGUCCUGGCAGGUGGCAGAGCCCUGGGACACCCUGGGGGGCUCAUCCCGGAGCCAGGUCCCCACAGGGCACGGGGUUCACACCUUCCCAGCCAACCAAAAUCCCCUCCUGGCCAAAAUCCUUGCUGGGCGUGUUUCAAUCAUCACCAAGCAUCUCAUGUGAGGCCUAAAAAGCCCUUCUCCAGUGUCCUGAUGGAUCCUGUCACUCAGCAUCACCAGGGACAGCAUCCCUGGCCUGUCUGGAUGUCUGCACAGUAUCCGGGGUCUUUUUUGCACUGAUUCCCAUGGAAAACCUCCCUGUCCUCCAAGCCCUGCCAGCCCCGGGCCCCUCCUGGCCUUCAUCUGGGGGCCACCUCAUUUAUGGGGUUUCUGUUUGUCCUUCUGUCCUGCUGCUGACACAGGAGCAGAGCUUGGUCGGUGCUUCCCAGAGCUGUGGGUGUUUCCCAGCCCUUGGAUCCAGGGGGAUGUGGGAGCAGCCCCCUCCAGAGGGCGGGAUGUGAUCCCUGCUCCCUCCCCUGGGCUGCACACCCGGCACUCCCGGGCUCCUGAAGGGCCACCACACCUCACUGAGCACAUUUGCUGGCAGAUCAGAGGGCCCCAGUGAUAAACCCGAUCCCAAAUGAGCAGUGAGCAGAGAUUUAAUUACAAACAGCCCCUCCUGGCUGGGGGAUGAGGCUCUGAGUGCUCCUGGCCGAGCUCACGGCCCGAGGGGCACCCGGCAGCUCCUGCUGGAUGCCAAGGGAAAGCCUGGCUGAGGAGGCACCAGGACGGUGCUGGACAGUUUGGGAGCCACUGGGAUUGGGGUGGGAAGCUCCCUGUUAUCCAGGGGCUGCCUGGAUAAGCCUUACCCACUCCAGCAGGUGCCGGACCGUCUCGAUCUCCCCGAAGGCGGCCGCCCAGAUGAGGGGGGUGAAGCCUCUCUCGUCGGGUUUGUUCACCAGGUUCUCACCUGCACAGACACGGGGGGACACUGGUGGGAAGGGCAAAGCCCCCUCUGCUCCCUGUCCUCCCAGCAAACCCAGCAGAACCUCCUCAGCUGGCUGGAGCUGAGGAUCCUCGAGGUCUUUUCCCACCUUAAGGAUCCCGUGGCUGGAUGAAAACCGAGCUGGGGGUGUGGGAGUCACCAGCCAGGACCUGGCAGGACCUGGGCUGAGAGAGGGAGCCACGAACCUUUCCGAAGGUGCUCCUUCAGCUGGAUGAGCUCCCCUUGGGCAGCAAGUUGGUGGAUGGACAGUGCUGGGGGAGAGAGGAAGGAUUCACCCACCGGGACAAAACCCUUCCCCAGCUGCAGGGAGGAGCUGCUUCCUGAGAGCUCAGGCCUCAUCCGAAGCUGUUCCCUGGCAAAAACCGAGUCCUGCAAAACCAGGGAUCAACCCCUUGCAAGUAAAAACUCUGGAGAAUGAGGUUUGACAGAGACCAAGAGCUGAGCAGGGAGACAAACCAGCCCCAGGGAGAUAAACCAGCCCCAAGAGCUGCCUGAGGAGGGACAGGAUCCACCCAGGGGGGAAGCAGGGACCUGGAAUUGAGGGCAUAAAUGCAGAUGUGCACUCAGGUCCAUCCUCCUAUUUCCUGCCCUUGGGAGGCUCCACUCGGAAAUCCCAGCGUGUCUUCGAGCAGUUUUUAAUCAGGGAAGCCCGUGGAAGGGCUUUCCCAGCUCCAGUUCCACUGCGUGGAGCUGCAGCGACCUCUCACUGCUGGCACGAGGCAGCGCCAAGGGCUGGGGCUGGGAAUGGCUCUGGGAGGGCCUGGAGCUGGGAAUGGCUUUGGGAGGGCCUGGCAGCAGUCUGGGACUGUUCUCCAGCAGAUCUGCCGGGCUGGGAGCACCCGGGGAGCUCCGUCUCCCUCUGGCUCUGCAACACUCACCGUCC